GGCGGGCCAGAGGGGACCCGGCGGAGCGCACGCCCAGGAGGGCGAGAGCGGGAGAGAGCUCGGAGACCAGACCCCCAGACAUGGGAGCGGAGGGUUCGAGACAGAGGGUGUAUCCCUCCGGGGACCCAGCCAAGAGCCUGGAGUGUUGGACAUCCACCCCUCCUCGGCCACCUGUGAAUGACACUUGUCCCCAGGUCCAUGCAGCUACCAACAGUGCACUCCACAGCCUCUGCAGAAGCAGCAUUUUUAACUGGCAGCGAUACUUCUGGAGCCUGAGAGGGCAGAGGCUGCGCCCAGUGGUGAGACCCACAUAACUGGAAACUUCCCCACAGCUGAGGCUCACUCUGAGCUCCUGAACGCCAAGGCUGGAAAUGUGAACACACCUCUCUCCACAUCUUCCUGAAGCCAGGCAGCAGGAUCCUUGAACCACAACAACUUUGCACAGAAGAGGUUGACUGCUAUGACAUGUGCAGCCACCUUGUUAGGGUAUAGUAGGUUCCACCGGAUUCCUCACCCGAGAGCAAGGCUGCUGGUAGAGACAUGACCAGCUGUCCUCCAAAACUGGACAUGGCCACCCAGCCAGCCUCCCUGGCAUUGCGUGUGACCCUCACCAUGGCCACAGGGUGGGGCUGUCAUGGCACCUCCCUGGUUCCCAGAAAUGGCUUGAGCCAAGAAUUAACACCUUCGAGCUUCUCAUUGUUUCUGGGAAAGAGCUCAAGGGCACUCAUUCCUGCUGUGAUGGCCAAGUACAGCUGCUGCUGCUCCAAGGCACAUCCCGUUACCACCUCUUGCUUCCCCUUGCAGGUGAACGGGUACACAAUCGUGGCAUGUCUGUGCCUCGGGAAACACCAGGAGCGCCUGGCUGGCCUGCGCCCAGCACACGCCCAUCCCAUCGCAGAGGCAUUUUCCUGAGCAGGAGCAGCAAACACAAAAGGGCACCAGCAUGUGGCUGUGUUUAUGGGAAAGACUCUAACAGGCAAAGCGUCCGCUGGGUGGGGCUCCGGGGAGGAGAGUUCACCCCCAAGGGGCACACAGAACUUUCUGGGAUGAUGGGAAAUGUUCUCUAUUUUUAUAGUCACGCUGCUUAAGUGGCUGUACAUAUUUUUCAAGACUCCUAGGCUCUACACUAAAACCAGUGCAUGUUACUCAUGUAAGAUAUGCCAGAA